AUUGAACGCUGGCGGCAUGCCUUACACAUGCAAGUCGAACGGCAGCACGGGAGCAAUCCUGGUGGCGAGUGGCGAACGGGUGAGUAAUAUAUCGGAACGUGCCCGGUCGUGGGGAUAACGUAGCGAAAGCUACGCUAAUACCGCAUACGAUCUACGGAUGAAAGCGGGGGAUCGCAAGACCUCGCGCGAUUGGAGCGGCCGAUAUCAGAUUAGGUAGUUGGUGAGGUAAAGGCUCACCAAGCCGACGAUCUGUAGCUGGUCUGAGAGGACGACCAGCCACACUGGGACUGAGACACGGCCCAGACUCCUACGGGAGGCAGCAGUGGGGAAUUUUGGACAAU
rnacentral:rRNA from 1 species